AUAGGAGUAUGUGAUUGUAAGAUUAAUUGAGCAACUGUGUACGAAAGGAUUUUUUUUUUUUUUUUUCUUUGAGAGAUAGGUAGCACGCUACCCACUUUGUUUUAUUUCAUUUAGAAAUAAACUUAGCUGGAAAUGUGAAUCAACUAGGAUUCGAACUUGGAUCUCUGGUACCAACCACCAAGCCCUUUACCACUUGCUCUAGGGACGGUCGGUGUGUACGAAAAGAUCUUAAUUGAUAAAAAUGAGGGUUAAACAAGAAAUUAAGAAAGUAGUUGUUUUUAAGUGUUUAUUUGGCUCUGUUUUGAAACACUUUUUCUCGAAAUAAAAAGCAAGUAUCGAAAAUCUAAUUAUGAGAUUAUCGGUAACUUUUAGGGUCCAUUUGGUUCAACGUAAAACCAUUAAAAAUAAUUUUUCGUAAAAAAAAAAUUGAUGAAAAAAAGUUUU
rnacentral:lncRNA from 1 species